GCCCCACCUCUGGGCCAUGUUCCCAAACCCCCGACCGACAGGGGGAGGCCUCUCCUCUGGGCUCCUUGGCACCUUGUUCACAUCUCUGCUCUGUCAGGGUGCCCUAGCCUGAGCCUGGUGCAUACUGCUGCAUGCCCUGGAGCCAGGGAACGUAGUCUCUCUGCAUUUUGUUUUCCUCGCCUGUAGAGCAGAAAUAAUGGAAACUGAGGACCAGAGAGGCUGUCCAGCCGGCCUAAGGCCACACAGAAAGUCAGAGGCAGCACCAAGGUUGGAUCCAGUCUCUUGAUUCCCACUGGAGGACUCUUCCUGACAUUGGGCCGCCUGUCAUCCUUCACCAGAACUGCUAUGGUGGAGGAAGGACACCAGCAGUUACUGAGCAUCUACUAUGUACAGUGUGGGAAAACUGAGGCUAAGGAAGAUGAAGUCCCUGAUCAAGUCACAGUAAGGCGAUGGCAAGGCUGGAAUCCAAACUUAGAUCGGUCUGCCUCCAAAGCCCAUGCUCUUUCUGUUCUCCCUACAACCUCCUGUGGAGAAAUGGGCAUAGCUGGGCCACAGGCCUGGGUGAACGGGCAGGGGGCAGCCAGCCCUGCAUCUCUGUCUCCCUCUGCAGUGGGAGACAUGGGGCUGCUUGAACAAUCAAAUUACAGACAGUGACUGAGGAGUCAGGAACAGUCAGGGCUUAGAUUAUCCUGGUG
ensembl:lncRNA